rnacentral:rRNA from 1 species
AAAUUGAAGAGUUUGAUCAUGGCUCAGAUUGAACGCUGGCGGCAGGCCUAACACAUGCAAGUCGAGCGGUAGCACAGAGAGCUUGCUCUCGGGUGACGAGCGGCGGACGGGUGAGUAAUGUCUGGGAAACUGCCUGAUGGAGGGGGAUAACUACUGGAAACGGUAGCUAAUACCGCAUAACGUCGCAAGACCAAAGUGGGGGACCUUCGGGCCUCAUGCCAUCAGAUGUGCCCAGAUGGGAUUAGCUAGUAGGUGGGGUAACGGCUCACCUAGGCGACGAUCCCUAGCUGGUCUGAGAGGAUGACCAGCCACACUGGAACUGAGACACGGUCCAGACUCCUACGGGAGGCAGCAGUGGGGAAUAUUGCACAAUGGGCGCAAGCCUGAUGCAGCCAUGCCGCGUGUGUGAAGAAGGCCUUCGGGUUGUAAAGCACUUUCAGCGGGGAGGAAGGCGGUGAGGUUAAUAACCUCAUCGAUUGACGUUACCCGCAGAAGAAGCACCGGCUAACUCCGUGCCAGCAGCCGCGGUAAUACGGAGGGUGCAAGCGUUAAUCGGAAUUACUGGGCGUAAAGCGCACGCAGGCGGUCUGUCAAGUCGGAUGUGAAAUCCCCGGGCUUAACCUGGGAACUGCAUUCGAAACUGGCAGGCUAGAGUCUUGUAGAGGGGGGUAGAAUUCCAGGUGUAGCGGUGAAAUGCGUAGAGAUCUGGAGGAAUACCGGUGGCGAAGGCGGCCCCCUGGACAAAGACUGACGCUCAGGUGCGAAAGCGUGGGGAGCAAACAGGAUUAGAUACCCUGGUAGUCCACGCCGUAAACGAUGUCGAUUUGGAGGUUGUGCCCUUGAGGCGUGGCUUCCGGAGCUAACGCGUUAAAUCGACCGCCUGGGGAGUACGGCCGCAAGGUUAAAACUCAAAUGAAUUGACGGGGGCCCGCACAAGCGGUGGAGCAUGUGGUUUAAUUCGAUGCAACGCGAAGAACCUUACCUGGUCUUGACAUCCACAGAACUUAGCAGAGAUGCUUUGGUGCCUUCGGGAACUGUGAGACAGGUGCUGCAUGGCUGUCGUCAGCUCGUGUUGUGAAAUGUUGGGUUAAGUCCCGCAACGAGCGCAACCCUUAUCCUUUGUUGCCAGCGGUUAGGCCGGGAACUCAAAGGAGACUGCCAGUGAUAAACUGGAGGAAGGUGGGGAUGACGUCAAGUCAUCAUGGCCCUUACGACCAGGGCUACACACGUGCUACAAUGGCAUAUACAAAGAGAAGCGACCUCGCGAGAGCAAGCGGACCUCAUAAAGUAUGUCGUAGUCCGGAUUGGAGUCUGCAACUCGACUCCAUGAAGUCGGAAUCGCUAGUAAUCGUAGAUCAGAAUGCUACGGUGAAUACGUUCCCGGGCCUUGUACACACCGCCCGUCACACCAUGGGAGUGGGUUGCAAAAGAAGUAGGUAGCUUAACCUUCGGGAGGGCGCUUACCACUUUGUGAUUCAUGACUGGGGUGAAGUCGUAACAAGGUAACCGUAGGGGAACCUGCGGUUGGAUCACCUCCUUA